AUGGGGAAACAACGCCCAACGCCGUCGAUGAGGAAGAACGUUCAGAGGAAGCAUGUCAUGGAGCUGCUGCGUGUCACUGCACGGCCUCCACAAGAACGCUGGAGCAUCAGGGAAAGCGUGAACUUCAAGAUUGCCCUAGGAAGGUUUGGUGAGGACUGGCCAAGAAUUGCACAGUUCGUCAGCACAAAGACUACCCACCAGGCAUGUACUUCCACCCACCUUCAGUACUUAAGCCCUGUUUGGAAUCACUCCGCCCCGCUCCACUCCCGGAGCGGAGUCGAGGGAGUGGAGUGGAACUGA
rnacentral:rRNA from 1 species